UACAGAGGUCUCAAGCGUUGUUCGGAUUCAUUGGGCGUAAAGGGUGCGUAGGUGGCGCGCUAAGUCAGGUGUGAAAUUUCGGAGCUUAACUCCGAAACUGCAUUUGAUACUGGCGUGCUUGAGGACUGGAGAGGAGACUGGAAUUCAUGGUGUAGCAGUGAAAUGCGUAGAUAUCGUAAGGAAGACCAGUGGCGAAGGCGGGUCUCUGGACAGUUCCUGACGCUGAGGCACGAAGGCCAGGGGAGCAAACGGG
rnacentral:rRNA from 1 species